GGGGAGGGCUCCGGGUCCCCCCCCUUUCCCUGAGGGGCAUUUUUGGGGGGCUUCAGAUCCCCCCCCCUCCUUGGGGGGCAUUUUUGGGUAACUGCAGCCCCCCCCUAUAGAUGGCACUGCCCCAUUCGGAGCCCCCCCCGCACCCCCACCCCCCCCGGCGCCGCUUUUCCCUUUGGGUUUUCCAGUUGUGCCUUAACCGGGGAGCAGCGCUCAGUGGGACACCAAUGGGACCCCCCGUGUGACACCGAGGGGACACCAAUGGGACCCCAAUGGGACACCGGGACCCCCAGUGUGACACCAAUGGGACCCCAGUGAGACCCCCUGUGUGACACCAAGGGGACACCAAUGGGACACCAACGGGACCCCAGUGAGACCCCCAGUGUGACACCAAUGGGACCCCAAUGGGACCCCCCGUGUGACUCCAAUGGGACACCAACGGGACACCAAUGGGACACCGGGACCGCCAGUGUGAUACCAGUGGGACCCCAGUGAGACCCCCAGUGUGACACCGAGGGGACACCGAGGGGACCCCAAUGGGACCCCAGUGUGACUCCAAGGGGACACCAAUGGUUCCCCCAGUGUGACACCGAGGAGACACCAAUGGAACACCAAGAAGACACCAAUGGGACCCCCAGUGUGACACCAGUGGGACACCAAUGGGACACCAAUGGGACACCAAUGGGACACUGGGACCCAAAGUGUGACACCGAGAGGACCCCCAGUGUGACACCAAUGGGACACCAAUGGGACAUCAAUGGGACCCCCAGUGUGACUCCAGUGGGACAUCAAUGGGACACUGAGGGGACAGUGGGACCCCCAGCACUCUGAUGUGACCCCGAGGGGACCCCCAGUGUGACACUGAGGGGACAGCGGGACCCACAGCGCCCCAAUGUGACCCUGGGGGGGCAGUGGGACCCCCCACCACUCUGAUGUGACACUGAGGGGACCCCCAGUGUGACACUGAGGGGACAGUGGGACCCCCCACCACUUCGAGGUGACCCGGAGGGGACCCCCACCACUCUGAUGUGACCCCGAGGGGACCCCCGAUGUGACACUGAGGGGACAGUGGGACCCCCAGCACUCUGAUGUGACCCCGAGUGGCCCCACACGGCUCCAUGGGACCCCACUGUGGGGCAGUGGUGGUUAUGCGGGGGGGUCGGGGGCUGCUGCCCCCCCCCACAGCCGCCCCCUGCAGAGCUGUCCCCCCCCCC
rnacentral:lncRNA from 1 species